rnacentral:rRNA from 1 species
CCUACGGGGCGCAGCAGUGGGGAAUAUUGGGCAAUGGGCGCAAGCCUGACCCAGCAACGCCGCGUGAAGGAAGAAGGCUUUCGGGUUGUAAACUUCUUUUAUGAGGGACGAAAGAAGUGACGGUACCUCAUGAAUAAGCCACGGCUAACUACGUGCCAGCAGCCGCGGUAAUACGUAGGUGGCAAGCGUUAUCCGGAUUUACUGGGUGUAAAGGGCGUGUAGGCGGGACUGCAAUUCAGAUGUGAAAAUUAUGGUCUCAACCCAUAACCUUCAUUUGAAACUUUAGUUCUUGAGUGAUGGA